UACGUAGGGUGCGAGCGUUUGUCCGGAAUUAUUGGGCGUAAAGCGUGCGCAGGCGGUUUGCUAAGACAGGUGUGAAAUCCCCGGGCUUAACCUGGGAAUGGCAUUUGGGACUGCAAGGCUCGAGUGCGGCAGAGGAGACUGGAAUUCCUGGUGUAGCAGUGAAAUGCGUAGAUAUCAGGAGGAACACCGAUGGCGAAGGCAGGUCUCUGGGCUGACACUGACGCUCAUGCACGAAAGCGUGGGGAGCAAACAGG
rnacentral:rRNA from 1 species